GUCAGUCCUCCUAGCAGCCUGAUUAGUAGAAGUUGUUACAGAAACACAGAUGAAACCAUGGGUUAGAAAGAGGUUGAGUGCUAGAGAAUCUUAUGGCUGCAAAAUGAGUAAGCAGAGACUUCAACCACUGUCUUCUGACUCACAGCCCAAGGGAAAGACCAGGCAAGAGUAGGGGUGAAGAAAUCUCAUGUAGAAGCCCAGAACUUUCAAGAGAUAAGAAGUAGAGAGAUUCUGGUUUAAAGAGAGAUGACAGAAGCCCUGAAUGUCCUCUCUUCUGCUCCCCCAGAUACCUUCAUGGACUACAGGGCUGUACAUACGACUGUUGAAGUUUAUAACUAAAAAUAAACCAAUAGGAAAGCUAGCCAUGCCAUAGUGGCUACAUGCAUGGGAUGUGAAGCCACACUUCCUGAGUUUGAAUCCCAGCUCUGCCUCAUCUUAAAAGUGUGAUCAUAGAGAGUGUGCCAACAUCAUUCUAAAUGAUUGGGAUACAUGAGUGGGAGUGAGUGAAGUGGACAAUGGCAGCAUUUUAGAAAAGGAUUAAG
rnacentral:lncRNA from 1 species